rnacentral:rRNA from 1 species
CGGUCCAGACUCCUACGGGAGGCAGCAGUAGGGAAUCUUCCGCAAUGGGCGAAAGCCUGACGGAGCAACGCCGCGUGAGUGAUGAAGGUCUUCGGAUCGUAAAACUCUGUUAUUAGGGAAGAACAAAUGUGUAAGUAACUGUGCACGUCUUGACGGUACCUAAUCAGAAAGCCACGGCUAACUACGUGCCAGCAGCCGCGGUAA